AAGCGCUUGUGACCAGACGCGCGCCGGGGUGCUCAGCAGGCGUUCUCGCCUGUGCACUCGCCCCGGCGCGGGCCAGCGUCGGUUCGGAUGGGGGCAUAAAGGCCGCAGGAACGUAGCUCUUCGGAGUGUUAUAGCCUGUGGUGUAAUACCCCCGCCGGGACCGAGGACCGCGCAUUGCAGGGAUGCUGGCGUAAUGGUCAUCAGCGA
rnacentral:rRNA from 1 species